ACUGCCCUGCCUGCUUUUAACAGAUAAAGAAAUGAGCCCAAAGGAAGAAAAGCUCAUAAAUGUUCACAACGUCACCUGCUGAGUCAAGGCACAAACAUCUGACAUUCUCCCCUCUCUGGCUGGCAAAGGAGAGAACUGGGCCUGGCUGCUGCAGCACUGCCUAGCUGGCCCCCAAACACUGUAGCCCUGAACAGACCAAAGAUGGAGGCACUAACUGUGAGGAGGGGAGGAAUCUGCACAGGCAAGGACCAGGGUUCAGACAGAAGACAACGCCCACACCAGCCACUUGGAUCCGGAAGAUUCCUGUACUCACUUGCAUGGGUGUAAAAUUACGAACCUGGUGGCUAAAGAGGUAAACGAGAGCUCUGAGGUGUCACCCCUGAGGCUGAGGAAGCAAAGGGAAAAGGUUGGGAUUCUUCAAACGUGGAAACUUGGAGGCAGG
rnacentral:lncRNA from 1 species